rnacentral:lncRNA from 1 species
CUCUUCUGAGAUGUCCCCGGAGCCUUAGGGCAUUAACCACUGGGGCUGGGUACCCCACAGGGUGAAAAAUAAAAGGAAGAAACAAUCCUGGAAGAAGACAAUCUGCGCUCCGUAUCUCACUCCUGUAAUGAAAUAGGAGGCGGAGACAGAAGAAUCAGGCCAGCUGGCCAGGACUCCAGGGGUCAGCAGCAGGAAACAAGAGCACUUUCCUUAAAGCAAGAAAACAAAAAAACAAAAAAAAACAAAAAAAACGUGGAUAACAGCCCAAGAUGGUAUUUUGAAGUAAGUAGACACCUGGAGAACACAGUCCUCCUGCUACCGGGACGAUGGAUAGACAUCUUCAAUCAAGACAUCCUAAGGACUCCUACGAGUUUAGAUGAAGGAGACUCUCCGGUUGUGUUUGUUUGGAAGGCGACCUCGGUAAGCCUGGAGCUAGAUGUCAACUGACGAGACGCUUCUGAGAGGGACUCAAAACUGCCGACCUUGGGAAUUUGCUCUAGAGGAGAGAAAUUCUUGGCCACUGAGAGAAUGCUGAGAAGACAGGGGAGUGAAAAGAACGUGUCAACAGAGUGAGCCAAGCCCAGGGGACAUGACAGAGUGCCACAAGAAACCAUUGCUCGGUAAAGGACACCUCAGAUGAGAGUGUACAAAAUAUGAUCAUCCCUCAUCACCAGGGGCAGCCCUAGGACCCUUGCCCAGGGUACCACAAUCUUAGGGUGCUCAAGUCCCUUCUAUAA